GUGGGGAAUUUUGGACAAUGGGCGCAAGCCUGAUCCAGCAAUGCCGCGUGUGUGAAGAAGGCCUUCGGGUUGUAAAGCACUUUUGUCAGGGAAGAAACGGAUUGGGUUAAUACCCUGGUCUAAUGACGGUACCUGAAGAAUAAGCACCGGCUAACUACGUGCCAGCAGCCGCGGUAAUACGUAGGGUGCAAGCGUUAAUCGGAAUUACUGGGCGUAAAGCGUGCGCAGGCGGUUAUAUAAGUCAGAUGUGAAAUCCCCGGGCUCAACCUGGGCACUGCAUUUGAGACUGUAUGGCUAGAGUGUGUCAGAGGGGGGUAGAAUUCCACGUGUAGCAGUGAAAUGCGUAGAUAUGUGGAGGAAUACCGAUGGCGAAGGCAGCCCCCUGGGAUAACACUGACGCUCAUGCACGAAAGCGUGGGGAGCAAACAGGAUUAGAUACCCUUGUAGUCC
rnacentral:rRNA from 1 species